UGCAAGUCGCACGAGAAAGGGGAGCAAUCCCUGAAGUAAAGUGGCGUACGGGUGAGUAACACGUGGGUAAUCCACCCUUUAGUGGGGAAUAACCCUGGGAAACCGGGGCUAAUACCGCAUAAGCCUGGGAAGGGAAAGCAGCAAUGCGCUGAAGGAGGAGCCCGCGGCCGAUUAGCUAGUUGGUGAGGUAACGGCCCACCAAGGCGAUGAUCGGUAGCCGGCCUGAGAGGGCACACGGCCACACUGGCACUGAAACACGGGCCAGACUCCUACGGGAGGCAGCAGUGGGGAAUCUUGCACAAUGGAGGAAACUCUGAUGCAGCGACGCCGCGUGAGCGAUGAAGCCCUUCGGGGUGUAAAGCUCUUUCGACGGGAACGAUAAUGACGGUACCCGGAGAAGAAGCUGCGGCUAACUACGUGCCAGCAGCCGCGGUAAUACGUAGGCAGCGAGCGUUGUUCGGAAUUACUGGGCGUAAAGAGUGUGUANGCGGUGCUCUAAGUUCGGUGUGAAAUCUCCUGGCUUUACUGGGAAGGGUGGCGCCGGAAACUGGGGUUGCUCGAGCGUGGGAGAGGAAAAGCGGAAUUCCUGGUUGUAACGGUGAAAUGCGUUAGAUUCAGGAGGAACACCUGUGGUGUAGACAGCUUCUGGACCAUUGCUGGACGCUGAGACACCAAAACGUGGGUUACCAAACA
rnacentral:rRNA from 1 species